CCGAUGGUGCGGGAUAACCUCUGGAAACGGAGAUUAAUACCGCAUGUACCCUGCGGGGGAAAGAUUUAUCGCCAUCGGAUCGGCCCGCGUUGGAUUAGGUAGUUGGUGGGGUAACGGCCUACCAAGCCGACGAUCCAUAGUUGGUUUGAGAGGAUGAUCAGCCACACUGGGACUGAGACACGGCCCAAACUCCUACGGGAGGCAGCAGUGGGGAAUCAUAGACAAUGGGGGAAACCCUGAUCUUGCCAUGCCGCGUGAGCGAUGAAGGCCCUAGGGUUGUAAAGCUCUUUCGCCAGGGAAGAUAAUGACGGUACCUGGUAAAGAAACCCCGGCUAACUCCGUGCCAGCAGCCGCGGUAAUACGGAGGGGGUUAGCGUUGUUCGGAAUUACUGGGCGUAAAGCGCACGUAGGCGGACUGGAAAGUUGGGGGUGAAAUCCCGGGGCUCAACCCCGGAACUGCCUUCAAAACUGUCAGUCUGGAGUCCGAGAGAGGUGAGUGGAACUCCGAGUGUAGAGGUGAAAUUCGUAGAUAUUCGGAAGAACACCAGUGGCGAAGGCGGCUCACUGGCUCGGUACUGACGCUGAGGUGCGAAAGUGUGGGGAGCAAACAGGAUUAGAUACCCUGGUAGUCCACACCGUAAACGAUGAAUGCCAGACGUCGGGCAGCAUGCUGUUCGGUGUCACACCUAACGGAUUAAGCAUUCCGCCUGGGGAGUACGGCCGCAAGGUUAAAACUCAAAGGAAUUGACGGGGGUCCGCACAAUCGGUGGAGCAUGUGGUUUAAUUCGAAGCAACGCGCUGAACCUUGCCAACCCUUGACAUCCUUCUCGCGGUUCCGGGAGACCGGAUCCUUCAGUUCGGCUGGAGAAGUGACAGGUGCUGCAUGGCUGUCGUCAGCUCGUGUCGUGAGAUGUUCGGUUAUGUCGGGCAGGCGAGUGCAACCCACACCCUUAGUUGCCAGCAUUCAGUUGGGCACUCUAGGGGAACUGCCGAUGAUAAGUCGGAGGAAGGUGUGGAUGACGUCAAGUCCUCAUGGCCCUUACGGGUGGGGCUACACACGUGCUACAAUGGUGGUGACAGUGGGUUAAUCCCAAAAAACCAUCUCAGUUCGGAUU
rnacentral:rRNA from 1 species